rnacentral:misc_RNA from 1 species
GAACAUUCAUUCAUCAUCCAACAAAGCGGCGAAAAGCAGACAAAAACGCCGAGCAGUUAGUUCAUUUUUCACGAUCCUUUCUGAAUUUACCUUGUUUCUCACCUAAAAGAAAUAGCAAAGGUUGUGUUUUUAGCUGCUGCGAUAAAUAAAAUACGCACAAAAGGAAAACAAUACACAGUGUUGUGAUUUAAAAUAUAAUAUAAAGCAAUUGACGCACAAAGUUCGGAAGAACAACAAAAUUUGAAAAAUGGAGAACCCAAAUGAAUUUCCGGCACCAUCUGGUUCAACAACUGAUCCCAGCAAUAAUAAUCAAGCGCAGAAGCGACUUCAACAAACCCAAGCCAAGGUCGAUGAAGUGGUCGGUAUUAUGCGCGUGAAUGUGGAAAAGGUUCUGGAGCGCGAUCAGAAACUAUCGGAACUGGGUGAGCGUGCUGAUGCGCUGGAAGCCGGUGCCUCGCAAUUCGAACAACAAGCUGGCAAAUUGAAGCGCAAACAAUGGUGGGCUAACAUGAAAAUGAUGAUCAUUAUGGGUGUGAUCGGUGUGGUUCUCUUAAUUAUCAUAAUCGUUAUGCUCUUUUAUUAACCGGUACCAAUUAGCAGUUGAAGAUCAACCUUUUAAAUAUAUACAUGUUCUCUAUAAGUGUGUGUUUUUGUCCAUAUAUAUGUAUGUGUCUAGUGUUUUCAGUUUCUUUAAUUAAGCAUUUUUGAAAUAAAAAGCGGUAAAUAAUUGUUUAAGUAGGAAAAGUAGAAGUUUGUACCGUCGCAAUACGUCUGAAAGCCAUUUUAUUUAAAGUUAUCCUUCCUGCCAUCCGGCAGUAGCAGCUCUGAUUCACAUAACCAAAUUCAAAACACGACAUCACCUUAAAAAGCUCAGACCGCGGUGGCCUUACGAUGGUUCCUUGUUGUUUUGAUUGAAAGCAUUAGACGUGGUUUUUAAAAAAUGCACAAAAUGCCAGCGCACAAUCAAUAUGCAUUGGAUCCUUUCUUUAAUAUACAGCUCUAACUGAAUGUCUUUAAACAGUAUACAAAAAAAUAUAUACAUAAAUCAUUAUACAUAUAUACAAGUAAUAUACAAAAUGUAUGCCUUACAUAUACAACGGAUAUCUGAAUGAAAUUGUAAUUGGAAAUGUAAAACAUAAAAAAGCAAAGUAUUUGUUUAAUUUUGUGUUUGUUUAAUUGUUUUUUGUAAUAUAAAAACGUUUGUCGUACUCUUAAUUAUUAAAAAAAAAAAAGCUGAAAUCCAUUUGACAUUUUUACAUAUACAAUAUUAAAACGAUUUGUAAAACAAUAUUGCUGUUAUAUACAUAUACAGAGUACACAUACAUAUAUAUAAAACUAUAUACAUGUAUAUUUACAUAAACAAAAAAUACUUUAGUGUUGAUUUUAGCGUUUUCGAAGUAUUUACACACAAUAUGCAUAUUCUAACGGUGUAUGAGUGGAAACAAACAACUAUUUACAAAAUGUAAACUAUACACAUACAAAAAAUAAAUUAAGCAACAUUUUGGAAAACAUUAAA